GAACGAGCGUGUAAAGACGAACGUACUGAACGCGCUUCGGGCGAAGUAAUACCGGUGAACGAGUGAGGCAAUCGGAAGAUCGUUUCUGCGCGGCUGUUCUGUCUCGCUUUUUCUUCCGUUCUCUCGCGACAUAACGCGUAACACUUGUCCGUAGAGAAAAUAAUAAACCGUAGAACAAAGUGCACUGUGAAAAGCCUGACGGAAUAUGCAGUAUAUCGACGAUUCUCCGGGGUAUGAUCGCUGUUCGAGGCGAUUAUAGUGGUUUAAAAGCAUUGUGAUACGAGGCAGAGGCCCAGCCGCGCGGAAUCGAAAUUGGUAUGUCGGUGCCGCCAGCAAGAACCUGCAGCGGCAAACAACAAGUAAGACCGGCGAGGUGCUGGCUACCCUAUGCAUACAGAAUGCUGCUACCAACCUUCCGGGAAGGGAAUUUAUUAUGUGAUCUAAUUUAAAGGAAUUUUAACCACGAAUUGUUCCCUGGUCGCUGCACUGCGUUCGUCAGUGAGGAUAGCAGAAGAAUGGUGGCUUUAAAAUUGGCUCGACCUUUUUGGCUGGAUGGAAUCAUAAAGAUCGGCGAUCGCGAGUGUAAUGGCAUUCCCCGCUGAGCAUUCCUCGUCGUAAUCUGUGGGAAGCUGAGGUCCUGACCCCACUACGAAGGAACGUGAUCCUGCGAGUGCAAGGCCGUCGCGAUUCACGAGAUCUCCACGCGAGAGCACAGCAAACGAAAAUCUUGGUGCCGCGAUGGCGAAGUACGGUUUACGUCAUGAUGGAAACCAUGACUCAGCAGCACCUGCAGCCUAUAACUACGAUUUCUAUCAUUACAACAUUCAAGCAGCAACCUCUGUAUUGAUAUUGGAUACGUAUGAAAAAUUUUCCUAAAAGACUAAUUGUAAGUGAAUUGUAAGCGAAGCGUAAAGAGCAAAGAUUCUGUUGGAUAUGUAUAAAGAAUUAACGUCUAUCUACAGUAAUAUUCAAAUCAUUGUUUUUAAAGUUAAUUAAUUGCUACACAUUAAUUUGCGACUUGACUCCCAAUAUUAAUUAGUGCUUCCAAAUGCGAUAUUUUAAUAUCUGUAUUUAUGCAAAUUACUGCCAGCAUUAAGAAAACGUAAUAAAAAUUGUGCAAGUUGCGCACAUGUAUAUUAUGCAUAUGAUAAUAAAAUCCGUCAAUCGUUUAUUUUCAAUUUGUUCUUUCCUACCUUUAUUCGUACUUAUUUUGCUUUUAUAGUAAUUUAAUUAUAAAUAACCUUUCUUAUUAUCGUGGUUUA